UGAUGGCAAGACACUAAUCCGUUGAUUGCAUAUAAUAUAUAUGUAUAUGUAUAGCCGGUGCUAUAAUUCUCAUAUGCAUCCUCCUCGACCUACAUUGGUAGGUGCUUACAUACAUAUGCUCAUAUAUUCACAUAUGAGUAGAACGAGAAGUAAAACUGAGAAAGCAGAGCCGCCGACAAAUUUGACUAACAUGACAUGUAUAUCGGUUACUUCAACUUGCACUUUAGGCCUUGCCAGAUUCCUCGCAGCCUGGUGGCCUGAAGGCAAUGAAGCUGACGCAUUGCACCUGGCGCAUGUUGUCGAAGCCGAUGACGCGGACAUACGCAUCAGGGUACUCCUUCUUAACCUCCUCCACCUCGUUGAGCACCUGUGUGGCGUCGGUGCACCCGAACAUAGGCAGCUUCCACAUUGUCCAGUAUCGACCGUCAUAAUACCCGGGGGAGCUGUUGUGCUCACGGAAGACGAAGCCAACCUUGCUGAACUCGAGGCAGGGCACCCACUUGGAGCGGAUCAAGUAGUCGACCUGCUUCAGGAGGGCCUCCGUGGAGAGGGGUGGUAAGUAAGACAGGGUCUCGAACUUCUUGAUGCCCUCAAUUGGCCACACCUGAAUAGAUGGAAUGAACACAAUUGAUCAACACUUAGUGCUUUAAGAAAGACCUACCCAUAAGGAAAAAAUUACUCCUGAUGGUCUGCCCACACAUCGUGGGGGGUCUCCACAAGCAAGAAAGCUCAAGGGCAGCUCUUGCUUAUGGGUAGUGUAUGGGCAUUAAAAUGAUAUUAUCUAGUACACAUUGCAAUAAAAAUGAUUUUCAUUCACAAAGUUUAUGAGUUAAAUAUGCCUACACAUGUGAAUCUGCUUACGGACUACAUUGUGAGGUUUACUUUGGCCUGGUAUGUGGGUUGCACGUCCUAAGGAUAGCGUUGCCUAUGUGAAGUGGAAAUACCCGAUAAAUUAAUCAAUUGUGCCGACAAGAACAUUCAUGACAGCUUAGUGUCCGCCAUUCUUUGCCAAAAAGUAAAUUGAAAAGGAGGAUAACCCAGCCCGUGCAUCAAGCGAUGCACACUGCCAUUUUUGUUAUGUUAUUUAUUUAACAUAGUCUAACAAAACGAAUACAGUUUUAAUUCAAAGCCACAUUCCAGACGAACAAAAUCGUUACACCUACAAAUACAAUGAUGUGCCUUGACUGCACCAUCUUUUGCAAAAAUGAUAUUUAGCUUUCAUACCUGCAUGCAUCUGAUCCUUCCGCCAUUGCUGACGCUGCUGAGGCCGGCGCUGCAGGAGCGGCGGCUGACGGGGAGGCCGGCGGUCGACUUGAGCCCCUGGAAGGGCGCGGCGGUGGUGGCGGAAGAAGCCAUCACGGCUGGGGCCAUGGCGGAGUACGUGAAUUGCUAGGUGGGGAGGCGAUAGCUAGCUAGGCCACACUUGACUUGAGCCCUCCUCAUGCCGCUCCAGUAUAUAUCAGCGUAUGCCCAGCGCCGCUCCUUUCAAACGAGAUUUCGAAGGGGUGGUCGUCGUUUGCUUGCUGCAAGGUGCCUUAUCCCUCUGGAUCAGCGGAAGAGGGUUGGAAAAUCAAAAUGAAUGCCACGGAAGAGAUAAAUAUACCUGCGGUCAUUGAAGUUGAGGCCGAAGCACACUACAGUCAUUGUACUUCAAAAUAAGUUUAAUACGGUCAUUGAAUACGAGUUGUAGUGUGCUUCCUAUUUUUUUUCUAGUCUGCAUACACGGAGAAGGUGGCACACUACAGUCACUGCACACACUCAGCCGUAGAAUGCCCGUAUUUCCUCUGUUUUUUUUUCUAGUCUGCAUAUAAAAUGUGGUCAAAGUUAAACUUUGUCAACUUUGAUUAAGUUUAUAAAAGAAAUAUAACGAUUCAUAAUAUGAAAUCAAUACUGUUAGAUGCAUCAUGAAAUUAAGUUUUAUACUUUCUUUAUUUUAAAAUAUAGUGCGCCCGCGUUUUCCGAGGUCUAACUUUGACCAUAAAUUUAACCAACGACACCGACUGCGAUGAGAGAAAAAAUUAUAUAAUUGAAAACCUCUUUUGAAUACGAAUUCACUGGUAUAAUUUUUGCUCCCACCGCAGUCGGUCUUAUUGGUUAAAUUUAUAGUCAAAGUUGAAACACGGGAAUAAAAGAAGCACUAUAUUUUGAAAUGGAUGGAGUACAAUAUAACUUUUAGUAUUGUAGAUGUUGAUAUUUUUUUCAACAAAAUUGGUUAAACUUUACAAAGUUUGAUUUUGACCAAAUACUAUAUGCAGACUAAAAAUAACGGAGGGAGUACACAACACAUGCAUCCGCACACGCUCGGCUGCAUGGUGGCGUGCGCCAUCUGCGACGACGUUGGUUCGUCGUGGUACGUCCAAGCUUGCCCACAACAAUGCCAUACGCCAUCUCUUGCAGCACCUCUUCGUCGUCAUUGCUCGACGACUGGCCGGAGACCAAGGUGACCGUGGCCUCGGCCUUAGAGCUAGCACCGAUAGAAAGCAUACGCGCAUGUACGGAGUACCCACUAGGUCGUGCGUCCCCAGCCGCGCCUCUACUCCUACUGCGCACAUUGUCUAUGAAGGCGAAUGCAUCACGCGCUAGCCGAGGCUUCAUCUUUAAUAAUUACAGCACCUACGGCACAAUCCGAGACUGCAUGGAGUCCUACUCGUGCAUGAGCCACUCUUGAUCACCUGUCGGAUCAUCCCCUCGGAGAACCUCAUCGCCUUGCCACCGUGGCCCCUAGCUCCUGCCCUUCACCUUGUGCUCCUACCAGUCGUCGAUCCGACAGGUGAUCAAGAGUGGCUCAUGCACGAGUAGGACUCCAUGCAGUCUCGGAUUGUGCCGUAGGUGCUAUAAUUAUUAAAGAUGAAGCCUCGGCUAGCGCGUGAGGCAUACGAUCAUGAUUCUCAGGUUCGAAGCCCGCAUUAAUUUACAUCCCUUCAGUUUUCUCUUAUACACCAUGAUAGGUGGGACCUAUAGAGCAGGGAGACAACUCAGCGCUGAUGGAGCCCUAACUGCCCCAUAGACUCUUUGACAGGUCAACUGGGCAAAAUACGAAGCUCUAUGGUGAACCAGUGACCAUAUAAUCAUCGUAACUCGUAUCCAAUGACUGUAUUGAGUGUAUUUUGAGGUUCAAUGACCGUAGUUUGCUUGGGCCUCAAUUUCAGUGACUGCUAGUGUAUUUAUCUCGCCACGGAAAGACCCCAAAACGUUAUAUAGGAUCACCAUUGAUCAUCCAAAUCUAAGGUCACUGAAUUUGUUAUGAACAAAUUCUUUGGCGCGAAACUAAACCACGCCAACACUAAAAUUCAUGAAGGGAAGUCAUCCAUACUCUUAUGUUUCAUUAUAUGAGACGGUAAUUAUUUCUUCAUUUAAAGUGUUGGUAUGGCUCCACCAUGGUGUUAGAUGUGGCAUUUUCCUAUACGAUGUGAUAUCAUCAUUUUUUUCUAAUUUAAUAAAACUUCUUCAUAUAGGUCUCACAAUCUGAAAAUACUCAUUCGCACGCGCGCGUUGGGUGGGUGAAGCGCUCCGUAGAAUAAGUCAGGUUCCGACCGCGUGCUAUAUUCCUUUCCAAUUUUUCACAUGUUUUUUUAAUUGAGAAUGGUGGCCCCAUAUGGUAUAGCAGCCCAAUGCCAUGGAAUUAAAUGUGUUGGGCCCACCCCACCUGAUACGCGCAUUCGUAGAAGGGCUAGUUGUGGUGGCAUCAUGCCUUUGACUUUUAAUGAUAUAUCUUUGAAUUUCAUCAAAUUUCAGUAGACAGCGAAAUAUUUACCUUUCGCCCAAAAUAUAUCAGUCAUUUCAAUUGUACACAUGAAUUCAAAUAUUUUUCAACAUUUUUUCAUUUUUUUUAACUUUCGAGUGAAUAUUUUGGUCUUUUGGUCAAAAUGCAAACUGACAUUACUGGAACUUAGUAAUUUUGGUAGGUACUGAAAUGAAAAAACAUGGGUGCCAUGGCAUGCAAGCCCACCCUGUGAUCAAUAUAUAAUCUCACACUAAAUUCCAGGUGGGGGCUAGUUUCCCUAAAAUAAUGAAUAAUCCAAGGGAACGGAAAUAUCACUGCACACUUUCCUAAUAGGGGCGUGGACGGCCAGUCGGAAAUCGACCACGCGGACGCGCGUGCGAAUUAGCCUCCCCCCCAACAAUCAUCCACCCAAAAAAUAAUUCAAGUUAAUAUAAUUUUAGCCUGGCAUGCGUGUACCUCCACGAUAUCGAUGUAAUGGGCUGCUGGUGUUUGCAACUAAUUGUUUCGUAAUGUUAUGACUGAAUAUGGAUUUUCUCAUGAGACAUAGGGUUUCUGCCUCUUAGGCAGGUUUUAUGACAAAAUUGAUAGUUUCGUCAUGGAAGGUCCCAUGUUCAUGACACAAACACCAAACAUCGCAGUUAAUUCAUUGUAGAAGGCCAAAAUAUUACUAGUACAAGCUAUCUUGGGGCUCAUCAAUUGGAUAUGUAAUUUGCACAUAUUUGUGCCCUCUACAUGUUCUUUGGUUUAUUGGAAUUUCUGUAAUACUGCAAAAAAUAGUAUAUAAUUGUGGUGUAAAAUGGUUAGAAAAAGUGACAUGUCUUUCAUGAACCGAUGCAGGAAUAUGGCUCACAUGACAAGUGCAUUACGGUAGGUUUGUCCUUGUCUUGUUAUGACACCUUUGUUUGUCCUUUUUUCUAGUUUCUUAUUUGUUUUUUUGUUUUUUUGUUAUUAUCGGUUUCUCGUCAAUUCCCUAUUGUUUUGCCAUUAGUUUUUAAUGGGGUCUCACCAUCUUUUAUGUGUUUCUCCAUAGUAUUUUUUGAAGUACUUUGGUAUUCCAUAACAAUUUCCGUAUUAGACAAUACACAACAUAUGAUUGAGCAAAAAAUGCAUGAGAAGAAAACAAUGCAAGACAUAGGCAUUUCCGGCUGCAAGGAAAGUAACCAUUCCAUCGAUUGAUGGCAAGACACUAAUCCGUUGAUUGCAUAUAAUAUAUAUGUAUAUGUAUAGCCGGUGCUAUAAUUCUCAUAUGCAUCCUCCUCGACCUACAUUGGUAAGUGCUUACAUACAUAUGCUCAUAUAUUCACAUAUGAGUAGAACGAGAAGUAAAACUGAGAAAGCAGAGCCGCCGACAAAUGUGACUAACAUGACAUGUAUAUCGGUUACUUCAACUUGCACUUUAGGCCUUGCCGGAUUCCUCGCAGCCUGGUGGCCUGAAGGCAAUGAAGCUGACGCAUUGCACCUGGCGCAUGUUGUCGAAGCCGAUGACGCGGAC
rnacentral:lncRNA from 1 species